GAUGAACGCUAGCGGCAGGCCUAACACAUGCAAGUCGAGGGGCAGCGGGUAAGUAGCUUGCUACUUAUGCCGGCGACCGGCGGACGGGUGCGUAACGCGUAUGUAACCUACCUUUGACAGGGGGAUAACAUCGAGAAAUUGGUACUAAUACCCCAUAACAUCACCGGAGGCAUCUUCGGUGGUUGAAAACUCAGGUGGUCAGAGAUGGACAUGCGUUGUAUUAGCUAGUUGGUGAGGUAACGGCCCACCAAGGCGACGAUGCGUAGGGGUUCUGAGAGGAAGGUCCCCCACACUGGUACUGAGACACGGACCAG
rnacentral:rRNA from 1 species